rnacentral:rRNA from 1 species
UACGUAGGGUGCGAGCGUUAAUCGGAAUUACUGGGCGUAAAGCGUGCGCAGGCGGUUUUGUAAGCCAGAUGUGAAAUCCCCGGGCUUAACCUGGGAAUGGCAUUUGGGACUGCAAGGCUUGAGUGCGGCAGAGGAGACUGGAAUUCCUGGUGUAGCAGUGAAAUGCGUAGAUAUCAGGAGGCAUACCGAUGGCGAAGGCAGGUCUCUGGGCUGACACUGACGCUCAUGCACGAAAGCGUGGGGAGCAAACAGG